CAAGUCGAACGGUAACAGGCCCUUCGGGGUGCUGACGAGUGGCGGACGGGUGAGUAACACGUAGGAAUCUGCCUGGUAAUGGGGGAUAACCCGGGGAAACUCGGGCUAAUACCGCAUACGCUCCACGGAGGAAAGCGGGGGACCUUCGGGCCUCGCGUUAUCAGAUGAGCCUGCGUCCGAUUAGCUAGUUGGUGGGGUAAAGGCCUACCAAGGCGACGAUCGGUAGCUGGUCUGAGAGGACGAUCAGCCACACUGGAACUGAGACACGGUCCAGACUCCUACGGGAGGCAGCAGUGGGGAAUAUUGGACAAUGGGCGCAAGCCUGAUCCAGCCAUGCCGCGUGUGUGAAGAAGGCCUGCGGGUUGUAAAGCACUUUAAGCCGGAAAGAAGGCUUCAAGGUCAAUACCCUUGGAGAUUGACGUUACCGGCAGAAUAAGCACCGGCUAACUCCGUGCCAGCAGCCGCGGUAAUACGGAGGGUGCGAGCGUUAAUCGGAAUUACUGGGCGUAAAGCGCGCGUAGGCGGUUCGUUAAGUCCGCUGUGAAAGCCCUGGGCUUAACCUGGGAACGGCAGAGGAUACUGGCGGGCUAGAGUAUGGUAGAGGAGAGUGGAAUUUCCGGUGUAGCAGUGAAAUGCAUAGAGAUCGGAAGGAACACCAGUGGCGAAGGCGACUCUCUGGGCCAAUACUGACGCUGAGGUGCGAAAGCGUGGGGAGCAAACAGGAUUAGAUACCCUGUAGUCCACGCCGUAAACGAUGAGAACUAGCCGUUGGAUUCCUUGUGAAUUGAGUGGCGCAGCUAACGCGAUAAGUUCUCCGCCUGGGGAGUACGGCCGCAAGGUUAAAACUCAAAUGAAUUGACGG
rnacentral:rRNA from 1 species